ACUGGUAUCGAUUUACGGCAUCAAUUUGGAUAGAACAUUGUGUUCUUUUUUUCUCAUUUCUUAAAGAAUUCUCACCUCUUUACUUGUAAUUGUAAAAAUAGAUGAAAUCUAGAGCUUUUGAUUUGUCUCAUCGGUUAUUUACUGGUGAUGAUUGUUAGAAAUUGCGAAUCUUUUGACACCGAAGGGUUUUUUAAUUUUAAUUUUAAUUUUAAAAUUUCUAAAAUUUUUGUUUGUUUUUUUGGGUAUUGAUCCUUUAUGGAGGAGCUCUUGGUUAAGGUUAAGACGAUUUGUUUCAUAGCCAAGGAUUUCGAUUUUUUCUGAAAGGACUGACUGGGGGAAACUGAAAUUUCCAAAUCUUUUUGAAAUUUCCACAC